rnacentral:tRNA from 1 species
CGGGCCGUAGCGCAGCCUGGUAGCGCACUUGCAUGGGGUGCAAGGGGUCGUGAGUUCGAAUCUCACCGGCCCGA